CUCUCUCAGCGUUCGCGUUCUUCAUUCCUAGUUACGGUGUUGUGAAGAUGAGGGCGAAGUGGAGAAAGAAGCGUGUGCGGAGGUUGAAGCGAAAACGCAGGAAGAUGCGUCAAAGGUCCAAAUAGAAUUUUAUGUGAAAAUAAAACCACAUGGAGCAACCAACAAGGGGGUCGAUGUUGAAAUAACAGGUAGAUAAUAUAUAACUGGGAAUGUGUCGUUCACGAACGAACAAACCAAAAGACCCGGUUCUCCAACUGGGCUUUCUGAAGCAGUGGAACUAUAACGAAUCACUAAUCUCUUACCUGAACCUAACAACAUUUUAUAGUCUCCUAUAGAAGCAUGAGUGCUCAUAAAAUCCAAACAGAUCUAUGAACGUUACUUGUGAUUACCACAUGGAACUUCCUGAAAUAUUCAUAAUCUUCGAGAUGUGAUGCAGUUCAUGUCACACUACCAUAUCUAGAUUUAUUGGUAUUGAGCAUCUGAAGAAUUUAGAGAAUUGGACUGAGUCAUCAAGAUAUGUAAAUUUAGUUCUGACGGCUGAAUAAAUGAUAAUUUUGUCUGUUAAAACUGGUUCUGAACAUAACACAAUUUGAGUGCAUCAAA